UAUGAAUGUCCGUGUUGUCUGC
rnacentral:siRNA from 1 species